rnacentral:rRNA from 1 species
GGGAAAUAGGCUGGUUAAAUAAGGGGAUGGGGCGGCUACACAUGCAGUCGAGCGGUAGAGAAAAGCUUGCUUUUCUUGAGAGCGGCGGACGGGUGAGUAAUGCCUAGGAAUCUGCCUAGUGGUGGGGGAUAACGUUCGGAAACGGACGCUAAUACCGCAUACGUCCUACGGGAGAAAGCGGGGGACCUUCGGGCCUCGCGCCAUUAGAUGAGCCUAGGUCGGAUUAGCUAGUUGGUGAGGUAAUGGCUCACCAAGGCGACGAUCCGUAACUGGUCUGAGAGGAUGAUCAGUCACACUGGAACUGAGACACGGUCCAGACUCCUACGGGAGGCAGCAGUGGGGAAUAUUGGACAAUGGGCGAAAGCCUGAUCCAGCCAUGCCGCGUGUGUGAAGAAGGUCUUCGGAUUGUAAAGCACUUUAAGUUGGGAGGAAGGGUAGUAACUUAAUACGUUGCUACUUUGACGUUACCGACAGAAUAAGCACCGGCUAACUUCGUGCCAGCAGCCGCGGUAAUACGAAGGGUGCAAGCGUUAAUCGGAAUUACUGGGCGUAAAGCGCGCGUAGGUGGUUCAGUAAGUUGGAAGUGAAAUCCCCGGGCUCAACCUGGGAACUGCUUUUCAAAACUGCUGAGCUAGAGUACGGUAGAGGGUGGUGGAAUUUCCUGUGUAGCGGUGAAAUGCGUAGAUAUAGGAAGGAACACCAGUGGCGAAAGCGACCACCUGGACUGAUACUGACACUGAGUGCGAAAGCGUGGGGAGCAAACAGGAUUAGAUACCCUGGUAGUCCACGCCGUAACGAUGUCAACUAGCCGUUGGGAGUCUUGAACUCUUAGUGGCGCAGCUAACGCAGUAAGUUUGACCCGCCUGGGGGGAGUACGGCCGCAAGGUUAAAACUCAAAUGAAUUUGACGGGGGCCCGCACAAGCGGUGGGAGCAUGGUGGUUAAUUCGAAGCAACGCGAAGAAACCUUACCUGGGCCUGACAUGCUGAGAACUUUUCUAGAAGAAUAAGAUGCUGCUUCAGGGAGCUCAGAACCAGGUGCCUGCCAUGCCUGUCGUCAGCCUCGAGUCUUGAAAAUGAGGGUUAAGUUCCGUAACCGAGGCGCAAUCCUGCUCUUAGCUUACCAGUCACCGU